GACGAACGCUGGCGGCGUGCUUAACACAUGCAAGUCGAACGGAAAGGCCCUGCUUGCAGGGUACUCGAGUGGCGAACGGGUGAGUAACACGUGGGUGAUCUGCCCUGCACUUCGGGAUAAGCCUGGGAAACUGGGUCUAAUACCGGAUAGGAGCCAUUUUUAGUGUGAUGGUUGGAAAGUUUUUUCGGUGUAGGAUGAGCUCGCGGCCUAUCAGCUUGUUGGUGGGGUAAUGGCCUACCAAGGCGGCGACGGGUAGCCGGCCUGAGAGGGUGGACGGCCAAAGUGGGGAUUGGGAUAGGCCCAGACUCCUACGGGAGGCAGCAGUGGGGAAUAUUGCACAAUGGGCGCAAGCCUGAUGCAGCGACGCCGCGGGGGGGAUGACGGCCUUCGGGUUGUAAACUCCUUUCGCUAGGGACGAAGCUUUUUGUGACGGUACCUAGAUAAGAAGCACCGGCUAACUACGUG
rnacentral:rRNA from 1 species